CUAAUGGCUACCCACUUCACUCUGGGCAGGAGCAAGGCAUUUCAUUUCUUUUAACAAUCCCUAGUGACAAUAGGUUGGCAAAGCAGUUACACUGGAUGGAUACUGAAAAGACCAUUUCAUAGUGUGGGACUCAGUGUAAAUGCAAAUGCAGUAUUAGUGGCAGGGCAGAUUCUUGGUGGUAAGAUGAAAUCUCUUCCCAGUCCCAGUCCUCUCCUUCCAAAGCCACCUUGAGGGAACAAAAAUGAUGACUCUAUCCUGAUAAGUGCCUCUUUUGUAUUGCAGGCCCAGAUGUGCAGGUAAACAACCCCAUGAUAAGUGUUGCUUCAAUCCUUGUCUUUCUCUCCAAGGGUUAGCCUGGAAGGUGAGAUUCUGAAGCUGAUUUAUACUAUAGGGAGGCAGAGUGAAGGAGGAGAGAGGAAAAACACAUUUAUUUGUGUGAAAGAAAAAAUGAAACAGAGAGGUGGUGAAAGUCUUUCCCAGCAAGGGAAGCCAACAGAUCUUGACAAGCACGUUCUCUUUCAUGCCGAACCAGCUGAGGAGCACCUCUCACUGACUGAAACUAGAACCCUCCCCUGAAACAAAAGCAGCCUCAGGCAGGUGAGGAAGGAGUCACAUGCCCUAAUGGGAUGACAUUCUGUGGCCUCGUGUGGUGGAUAGAGCUGUCUGGCCUGGCUACCCUCUGGUUUCUGUUAAAAUAAGUUCUCAUGGCCAGC
rnacentral:lncRNA from 1 species